rnacentral:rRNA from 1 species
UGGGGGAUAUUGCACAUUGGGCGAAACCUGAUGCAGCGACGCCGCGUGGGGGAUGAAGGCCUUCGGGUUGUAAACUUCUUUUGCUCUGAACAAGGCGCACCAUGGGGUGUGUUGAGUGUAGGGGUUGAUUAGCGCCGGCUAACUACGUGCCAGCAGCCGCGGUAAUACGUAGGGCGCGAGCGUUGUCCGGAAUUAUUGGGCGUAAAGGGCUUGUAGGUGGCUGGUUGCGUCUGUCGUGAAAGCUCAUGGCUUAACUGUGGGUUUGCGGUGGGUACGGGCUGGCUUGAGUGCAGUAGGGGAGGCUGGAAUUCCUGGUGUAGCGGUGGAAUGCGCAGAUAUCAGGAGGAAUACCGGUGGCGAAGGCGGGUCUCUGGGCUGUUACUGACACUGAGGAGCGAAAGCAUGGGGAGCGAACAGG